rnacentral:rRNA from 1 species
GACGAACGCUGGCGGCGUGCUUAACACAUGCAAGUCGAACGGAAAGGCCCUUCGGGGUGCUCGAGUGGCGAACGGGUGAGUAACACGUGGGUGAUCUGCCCUGCACUUUGGGAUAAGCCUGGGAAACUGGGUCUAAUACCGAAUACACCCUGCUGGUUGCAUGACCUGGUGGGGGAAAGCUUUUGCGGUGUGGGAUGGGCCCGCGGCCUAUCAGCUUGUUGGUGGGGUGAUGGCCUACCAAGGCGACGACGGGUAGCCGGCCUUGGGAGGGUGACCGGCCACACUGGGACUGAGAUACGGCCCAGACUCCUACGGGAGGCAGCAGUGGGGAAUAUUGCACAAUGGGCGCAAGCCUGAUGCAGCGACGCCGCGUGGGGGAUGACGGCCUUCGGGUUGUAAACCUCUUUCAGUAGGGACGAAGCGUGAGUGACGGUACCUACAGAAGAAGGACCGGCCAACUACGUGCCAGCAGCCGCCGUAA